GACAGAGGGUGCAAACGUUGCUCGGAAUUACUGGGCGUAAAGGGCGUGUAGGCGGGAAGGCAAGUCGGGCGUGAAAUCCCCAGGCUCAACCUGGGAACUGCACUCGAAACUGCCUUUCUUGAGUGCCGGAGAGGAAAGCGGAAUUCCUGGUGUAGAGGUGAAAUUCGUAGAUAUCAGGAGGAACACCAGUGGCGAAGGCGGCUUUCUGGACGGUAACUGACGCUGAGACGCGAAAGCGUGGGGAGGCAAACAGG
rnacentral:rRNA from 1 species